rnacentral:snoRNA from 1 species
CAUCACAUUUCAAUGUCCUGUUCUUUCCUUGUGAGAGCUGAGAUACAGUAUUUCAGUGCUAGAUCAAUCUUGGAGGUAAAUUAGCAGUGGCAUUCCAUGUCAACCCUGCACAUUCCCUUCACACACCC